UACGGGGGGAGCAAGCGUUGUUCGGAUUUACUGGGCGUAAAGGGCGCGUAGGCGGUCAGCACAAGUCAGUUGUGAAAUCUCCGGGCUUAACUCGGAAAGGUCAACUGAUACUGUGCGACUAGAGUGCGGAAGGGGCAACUGGAAUUCUCGGUGUAGCGGUGAAAUGCGUAGAUAUCGAGAGGAACACCUGCGGCGAAGGCGGCUCUCUGGGACGGUACUGACGCUGAGACGCGAAAGCGUGGGGAGCGAACAGG
rnacentral:rRNA from 1 species